rnacentral:lncRNA from 1 species
UAACCUAUUCAGAAUGCUUAGAUCAUUGAGAAAUUUAGUGAAGGGUCUGAAUUCACCUCCAAAUUCAGAUUGAACAACUUCUAUUUUAACUACUAGAUGUGGCAAACGGGAAUGCCCGCCCCAUAAAAGCUGGCAAAAAAAGGGGUGGUUCAGAAUGAAGGCCUAAAUCUUGGCGUGCCCCGUAAAAAAAGUGAAGAUGGUGUACGAAGGGUUCGCGGGCAUUGUACUUUUUAAGAUUAAAAUUGAAAAAUUAUAUGUUAAUA